AGAGUUUGAUCCUGGCUCAGGAUGAACGCUGGCGGCAGGCUUAAUACAUGCAAGUUGAACGGUAACAUGUUGUAGCAAUACGAUGAUGACGAGUGGCGCACGGGUGCGUAACACGUGUGUAACCUACCUUAUACAGGAACAUAACGUUGAGAAAUCGGCGCUAACAUUCCAUAAUAUUAUUUGUAGGCAUCUAUGAAUAAUUAAAACUCCGGUGGUAUAAGAUGGGCACGCGUUCCAUUAGCUAGUUGGUAAGGUAACGGCUUACCAAGGCAACGAUGGAUAGGGGUUCUGAGAGGAUAAUCCCCCACACUGGAACUGAGACACGGUCCAGACUCCUACGGGAGGCAGCAGUAAGGAAUAUUGGGCAAUGGAGGCAACUCUGACCCAGCCAUGCCGCGUGCAGGAAGACGGCCCUAUGGGUUGUAAACUGCUUUUAAUAGGGAUUAAAGUCAACUACGUGUAGUUGUUUGCAAGUACCUAUAGAAUAAGCAUCGGCUAACUCCGUGCCAGCAGCCGCGGUAAUACGGAGGAUCCAAGCGUUAUCCGGAUUUAUUGGGUUUAAAGGGUGCGCAGGCGGACUAAUAAGUCAGUGGUGAAAUUUACAUGCUUAACAUGUGACGUGCCAUUGAUACUGUUAGACUAGUAUACAAAUGACGUAGCUGGAAUGUGUUAUGUAGCGGUGAAAUGCAUAGAUAUAACACAGAACACCGAUCGUGAAGACAGGUUACGAAUUUGUGAUAGACGCUCAUGCACGAAAGCGUGGGGAUCAAACAGGAUUAGAUACCCUGGUAGUCCACGCUGUAAACGAUGAUAACUUGUUGUUGGGCACAUAGUGCUCAGUGGCUAAGCGAAAGCGAUAAGUUAUCCACCUGGGGAGUACGAUCGCAAGGUUGAAAC
rnacentral:rRNA from 1 species